AUUGAACGCUGGCGGCAGGCCUAACACAUGCAAGUCGGGCGUGCCGAAGACGGGUGAGUAAUGUAUGGGGAUCGGCUUGAUGGAGGGGGAAAACUACUGGAAACGGUAGCUAAUACCGAAUAGCAUCACAUGAACCCAGAUGGGAUUAGCUAGUAGGAAAGGAAACGGCUUACAUAGGCCACGACCCCUAGCUGGUCUGAGAGGAUGAUCAGCCAAACGGGAACUGAGACACGGCCCAGACCCCUAGGGGAGGCAGAAGUGGGGAAUAUUGCACAAUGGGCGCAAGCCUGAUGAAGCAAUGCGGCUGGUGGGAAGAAGGCCUUCGGUUGGUAAAGUACGUUCAGUCGGGAGGCGUUACCGACAGAAGAAGCACCGACUAACUCCGUGCCAGCAGCCGCGGUAAUUC
rnacentral:rRNA from 1 species